CCGUUGAAAAUCCAACGGUGGGGAGGAAUUAAUGGUCUGCAUGCACUUGUCUUGAGUUGUGUGCGUGUGGGUUUUCAAUGCCUUGGUACACGUUUAUCACUUACCAAGGCCGAAGUAAAACUUUGUUUCAUAAGUACAUCAGAUUGAAGUGUAGAAGGGAAAACCUUCUCUUUCACGCGGUUCAGUUUCUCUUUCUUUCUAUCCUCUUCAACAUUUUUGUUUUCCUCUCCAAGAGAACUUGUCUUGUUCAAACUUAAACCAACAACUUGGCUUGAUCCCAAAACGGAGGGGUAAAAAGUUCGAGAAUGGAUCAGAUCCGUGAUAGCGACGUAGAUGGGAAACAUGGAUAACAGGGUGAAUCUUAGAGGAGGAUGGAAGGUCGAGCUCGUAUGAGACCACACUGAUCCUUCAUAACACCUUGAAAGGACCAAAGAAAUGUGGUGCAAGCUUUGCAGAUGUGCGUUUGUUUUUUAUUUCUUUUCAAACAUCAGGUUGUUAAGUUGUUUUAGCCAAAAUAAUCAAAAGGGGGUUGUUAAUUCUGUGUUAUGGUUGGCAUUAUGUUUGGUUAAACUAACUUACAUGUUGAACAAGAUGUUCUUUUCACUUCAACUGAAGAAGACAUGUCGAGAAAGAUGUCCUAAGCAGGAUCCAUUCGACAUCGUGUCUGUUAAUUUACAACUGGGAUUUAUUGAAGUCAAUUUUAUGUACAAGUGCAGAAUAUUUUAGACUAUUAUGAAAUCCUAUGUGGCACUUGAUUUAGGGAUAAGAGAUCGUCUAUGUUUUCAAGAUAUUUGAUUGGUUUCUAAAUAUGGAGGAUAUUUAGGAAACUAAUGAUUAAAGACCUAUCUUCAAGGAGAAGAUUGUGGAGUGUUUUUUGGAGGGCCGUGCUACAAUUUGACGCCCAAGUCCAGUCUAGAAGAUUGUUUUAAAUAGCAAGCAUCAACCCUAGUAUUGGCAAGGAACUUACAUUCUAGUUUGUGUUUGGCUUUGUACAGUCUUAUCUAUUGUGAGCCUCUCUAAUAUCAUCUUGAUAGACGAGUUUGGUGUUUUCAUUGAGUUGUAAGUUUGUGUUCAUUCAUAAGCUUUUAAGCAUUGAGCGACUGUAUUUUGGAAGUUUGUGUCUUUUAAUAUUUUGUAAUUGAUCAUCACGAUUGUGAUUGAGGGGGAUUGAGGAGGGCCUAAUACUUAGAUGAGUCUAAGGUAGAAAUAUAGCACGGGUGAACUGAGGGUUGUUUGCAUAGUUAUUCGAAUUGAUACUAUUACAGUGGACUUAUCCUUGGCUUUGUAACCCCUAGAAUAUGUAUUAUUUAUACCGAACUGGAUGAAUAAUUACUUGUGUUAUUUAAA